rnacentral:lncRNA from 1 species
UUUGAGUAUAAACGGUGUAAAAUGAUAUGUGUUUGUGCAUAAUCAGCCAAAUAGUAUUGUACUCAGAAAGUGUUAUGUGAUUUCAAACAUUUGGUUUGUUUUUAAGUUCAACUGUUUAAAUUGCUUAAGACUUACUAAGCUUAUGAAAGCUUACUUUGAAUGUUAUGUUUCUCUGUUUAUUUUUGUAGAUCGUUGACUCUUACUAUUAGCUCGAGGAUCGUCAGCACUUCGUCACACUAUCUACUAUUGUAGUAAUCAUGUGA